rnacentral:misc_RNA from 1 species
CCUACAUAGCCCACCAGUUUGUUUAAAAACCAGAUAGAUUCAGCUAAAGCUAUCUUUUUUUCUCUUUAUAAUUAUCCAUUUCUUACUGGUCCUUAUGACUUAAUUUUUGCUAGCUAGAAUUGGAGGGUAUUUAUUUAUUAUUGCUAAAUUAUGGUUUGCUAGGAGGGAGGUUUUUGCGUUAUAUAUAGCAGGCGGUGCAGAGCUGAAUGAAUACAAACUUGUUGAUACUUAACCUUUACUAUCUCCCUGUUCUUCCACCAUCCUUCUUUUUCUUUACAAUAUUGAUUGUGCCAUUUCAGAACCUGCAAAUAGAGCUCAAACAUACAGUACUUGAUAGUGUUCAACAAUGUGCAUAGCUGCGUUUAUCUGGCAAGCUCACCCUCUCUACCCUUUGCUUCUCUUGCAAAACAGAGAUGAAUAUCACAACAGACCCACAGACCCAGUGGCAUGGUGGGAUGGGUGUGGUAUACUGGGAGGGAGAGAUGCAGUAGCAGGAGGAACAUGGUUGGCUUGUUCAAGGGCAGGCAAAUUGGCUUUCCUCACAAAUGUUUUGGAGCUUCAUGCUAUCCCCGAGGCAAAAAGCCGAGGAGAACUUCCUGUUCUUUUCUUGGAGGUAACAAAUUAUAGAUUAAAUUUAACUCAAGAACUAUAGUAUUUAGUUUGCACAUCGAGACUUUGAAUCACUUGGUUUGUUCUCUGCAUCGUCACAGAGCCCGAAGAGUCCUAAGGAAUUUGCAGAAACACUGGUGAAGGAGGCUCAUCAGUACAAUGGGUUUAACCUGAUAUUGGCCGAUAUUUCGUCCAAAAGCAUGGUUUAUAUCUCCAACAGGCCCAAAGGUGAACCCAUUGUCAUUCAAGAGGUUUCUCCUGGUAUUCAUAUCCUUUCAAAUGCCAAGCUAGACUCUCCCUGGCCUAAGGCACAGCGCUUAGAACGGAAUUUGAAGGAACAGCUUGAUAAAUAUGGUGAAGGUGAAAUACCUGUCGAAGAGAUGCUAGACAAACUAAUGAGAGACACGGUUAAGGCUGCGAAAAGCAGGUUGCCAGGCAUUUGUUCUUUUGAUUGGGAAUACAGUCUAAGCUCCAUAUUUGUUGAAGUAGAAACUCCACUGGGAUGCUAUGGCACAAGAAGCACCAUUGCGUUAACAGUUAGAGCAAAUGGAGAAGUAAGCUUAUAUGAAACGUAUCUUGAAAAUGAUACGUGGAAGGAGCAUACAGUGAAUUAUUAUAUUUCAAAAGCUAAAGUACACUGAGACAGUAUUAUUAGAGCCUAAAAAUAAGGGAUGACUCAUCCAUUUAUCGUAUGUAUGUUCAUGCUAGAUUGAUUUACUCUGUCAGUUUGCAGGUUGGCAGAUCAAAACGUGUAUUUGAUCAUUAUAUCAAUCAAGCAGUCCUAUUUAUGGAAUAUCACCAUAAGCAAAUGCCAUUUUCCUAUCUACAUGGACUCCAAGGGGAGUAAGAAUAAGAUACUCUUGAAUGUAAUAUAAGGUUGUCAAUAAGAUACUCUCAAAUGUAAUAAUAAGGUUGUCAUCCAAAGCUUUCAAGAAGCUUUCAAAUUGAUCAGAAAAAUACUCCUCUUUUCUAA